UACGUAGGCAGCAAGCGUUGUUCGGAAUUACUGGGCGUAAAGAGUGUGUAGGCGGUGCUCCCAGUCUGUUGUGAAAUCUCCCGGCUUAACUGGGAGGGUGCAGCGGAAACUAGAGUGCUAGAGGGUGGGAGAGGUAAGCGGAAUUCCAGGUGGAGUGGUGAAAUGCGUAGAGAUCUGGAAGAACACCAAAGGCGAAGGCAGCAUCCUGGGAAGUUCCUGACGCUCGGGUGCGAAAGCCAGGGGAGCGAACGGG
rnacentral:rRNA from 1 species